CCUCCUGUGUCCGUCGAGCCCUGCAGGGAAAAGGAAUAAAACCACGCUUGGCCAAAAGCCACCUGCAGCAGCAAGGGAUGCAUUUACAGUAUAGGCAAACGCCAGACAGCCCUAGUCCUGUGGCCGUGUUGGGGUAGCGUGUCGGCUGAUCUGGAGCACCGUUCUUAUGGAGACAGGCGGAGAGAGCUGGGGUUGUUCAGCCUGGAGAAGAAAAGGCUCCAGGGAGAACUUAGUGCAGCUUCCAGUGCCUAAAGGGGAUGACAAGAAAUCUGGAGAGGGACUUUGUACAAGAGCAUGUGUUGAAGCAUAGUCCGGUGGUUGAGGGAGCAUCACAGAUUGAAGCUUGGGGGAUCUGUGGCCAGACACAAAGGAUAAGCUCUGACUCACAGCAUCGGCACAGCUAAGUCCUGGGACUGCAUUGUAGAUGAGGGAGGUUGGGUGAGUGGAAGGUGGUUGUGCCCUCCCUGGGGAUGAGCCAUACUGUGUGGCAGUGUGGGUACUGCUGGGUGGAGGGAGCUGGAAAUCUUACCUGGGAGGGUGAAGUUUGGGCAUUUAGUGGGUGAUGUACAGGCCCAGCAAUGGGAAUUUGCUUGGUGGGCCAAGUGGUUGUGUCCCUUGGACUACAAAUGUUCAUUGUGUGAGUAACAGGCUAAAACCUCAGUCUGUUUUACAUAUUAAAAAGUAUUUUCCCAGCUGCAGUGUUUUACUCUUGUUCUGCCAACUCUGUGAGGCAUUUUUCCAGUCAGCCUUUAGAGUGGGAUUUACUGGACAAUGGAAGAGACUUUUGAGGUGGUGUUAGUGACUGCAGGAAAAGUGUUACCUAUUGUCACAAACACUUCUCUCAGCAGGUACCACUUCCUUUAAGGAGGGGCUGUUUGGUGAUGACAGGUGUCAGCCUUUGGAUAUUUGAUCACAGAGCUGAGAGAACCACAAAUAUUAAGUUAAUUGUCUGUAAUGGAGAUCUAGUGCUUGCCGUGUUGCAGGUAGCUUCAGUGGAAGUACAGCUUAGUACAGUGGAACAUUCUACGGAUUGAUUCUUACAAAUGGUCACUUAUGAAUGGUGGCUGAACCCAAGCCUAUAAACAGCAAUUGCAAAGUGUUUCUGGUGUGUCUGUAUUCCCAUUCUGCUGCCCUUUCAAAUUAAGGGGAAACAUGUAAAGCUACAGGCAAAAAUUCUCAUCUCCUUUUUACUUUUCUAUUUAAUCUUUUCCUGCUCAGCUACUCUUUGACAUUUCUUGCUUAAAACUGAGUGGUCAGUUUUUCACUUAUGGUUUAUUGUUUAGAGUUUGUGGGUGUCAGUGAUUUCUCACUCAGGGGUUAUAGUUUAUUACUUUAUUCUGUGGGGCUCUGUAUU